rnacentral:lncRNA from 1 species
UAAGUUGAAAUAUAGUGCUAAUAGAUACGGCUUUUUGGUACGUAUUAUCAAAAAUCUGAAAUGUACGAGAGACAAGUUUAGUGGAAACGGGAAAAGAGGUCCAUGGUGGAUUUGGCGGAGAGCUAGGCUGACAAUGCCACGUCUCUCUCCGACGUCCGUAUUCUCGUUUCGCAAACUCUAUUAGGGCUAAUGUCAUCCUCAUUUAGAGCAUUCUCCACUUCUUUUGUGAGAGAAGUCAUUCGGACAAGUUCUGUAGAAUGCGUGCCAAUAAACGUACGUAAUAUUUUAUGAUAUAACAAAAAAAAGUAUAUGUUGAUGUAUGAAGGGUGUGUGGGUUUAGUGGGCUCUCCAAAUGUAAGAGAUUCAUAAGUUCAGUAAGUCUAUGUCAAGAAACGAUCGAGUCUCACUAUCUACGAAAAUUAGUUGGUUGCACAUUUGUCUGUUUAUUAAGCUUUUGUAUUUUGGUUCGCUGUUACUUAUCUUGGCGAAUAAGGAUAGGACUACAUUUCAUUUCAACCCAAAGAUUGUUUAAGAAAAAAAUCCAUACGUGAUAUGAUGUAGUAUUGGAUAAUCAUGGUAUAGUUUUUGUUCUUAUAGAUUAGUGACUAGAAUAGAGCCUCGUGAUCUACUUCUUGAUUCAUCAUUAGUUCGACUCCAAUUUGUUCGACAAGACGUCACUUGAUUAGUAGAAAACUGAAACCAAAACAAAAGGCUUUUUCCUAUAAGGGGCGUGAUGGAACUUAAUACAAGAUUCUUCGACUGAAUUAUAUCUAAUUCUGUCUUUUUUUUUUGUAAUAAUAAUUGGACUUAUUUAUUCAGUGGAUAAUUUAUGGAUUUGGAAAAACUCAUCAAUAAAGAAUAAUUUUUUGGGCUUAAAAAACUGCAGGAGGCCGCGCUUUUCACCUUUACACAAGAAACUAAAUCAUCUAUUUGGUCAAUGGAAAAUAUGUUUCACUAUUCAAUAUAUCAUCAGUCUUUUGGGAUGGACGGUAAACGUCUAACUUCAACGGUUUAAGACCCGACAUCAUGACUUACUUUCUUGACUGAACAUACAGAGUAAACUACUUUACAAAGAAGAUUUCAGUUUUCAAUAUUGUUCACUGUUGACAGGCACAAAACAGGACAUCUGAUUCAUUAGACAAAACUACAUGUAAUUUUCAUCGAGAUUUAUGUUUUGUUAAUUAUUUUAUUCCGGUAUUAAUUCUGAGACCACCUAUUAGAAUAGUCUUUUGAUAUAAAAAAAAUGAAUUAUAACCAUUUC